UACAAAGGGUGCAAGCGUUACUCGGAAUUACUGGGCGUAAAGCGCGCGUAGGCGGUUCGUUAAGUCUGUCGUGAAAGCCCUGGGCUCAACCUGGGAAUUGCGAUGGAUACUGGCGAGCUAGAGUACGGUAGAGGAUGGUGGAAUUCCCGGUGUAGCGGUGAAAUGCGUAGAGAUCGGGAGGAACACCCGUGGUGAAGGCGGCCAUCUGGACCAGAACUGACGCUGAGGCACGAAAGCGUGGGGAUCAAACAGG
rnacentral:rRNA from 1 species